rnacentral:misc_RNA from 1 species
UUGAUUUUUAAAGGAUGUGCUGGUAAGCUCUCUUAUAGGGGGCUUGCAAUGUGCACUCCAAAAAUCUCUACCUCACCCCAUUGUGCACAUUCAGUAGGCAAAUGCAACACUGGCUUUGCAGAGUGAAAUUCUGUAAAAGUAUCAUUUGCCUAUGUCUUUUCUAUAUUGAACACCAGUCAUAUAAUGAAAUACAAUAAUAUAUAUUCUAAUA